AGAGUUUGAUCAUGGCUCAGGACGAACGCUGGCGGCGCGCCUAACACAUGCAAGUCGAACGAGCGAGAGAGAGCUUGCUUUCUUGAGCGAGUGGCGAACGGGUGAGUAACGCGUGAGGAACCUGCCUCAAAGAGGGGGACAACAGUUGGAAACGACUGCUAAUACCGCAUAAGCCCACGGCUCGGCAUCGAGCAGAGGGAAAAGGAGCAAUCCGCUUUGAGAUGUCCUCGCGUCCGAUUAGCUAGUUGGUGAGGUAACGGCCCACCAAGGCGACGAUCGGUAGCCGGACUGAGAGGUUGAACGGCCACAUUGGGACUGAGACACGGCCCAGACUCCUACGGGAGGCAGCAGUGGGGAAUAUUGCACAAUGGGGGAAACCCUGAUGCAGCGACGCCGCGUGGAGGAAGAAGGUCUUCGGAUUGUAAACUCCUGUUGUUGAGGAAGAUAAUGACGGUACUCAACAAGGAAGUGACGGCUAACUACGUGCCAGCAGCCGCGGUAAAACGUAGGUCACAAGCGUUGUCCGGAAUUACUGGGUGUAAAGGGAGCGCAGGCGGGAAGACAAGUUGGAAGUGAAAUCCAUGGGCUCAACCCAUGAACUGCUUUCAAAACUGUUUUUCUUGAGUAGUGCAGAGGUAGGCGGAAUUCCCGGUGUAGCGGUGGAAUGCGUAGAUAUCGGGAGGAACACCAGUGGCGAAGGCGGCCUACUGGGCACCAACUGACGCUGAGGCUCGAAAGUGUGGGUAGCAAACAGGAUUAGAUACCCUGGUAGUCCACACUGUAAACGAUGAUUACUAGGUGUUGGAGGAUUGACCCCUUCAGUGCCGCAGUUAACACAAUAAGUAAUCCACCUGGGGAGUACGACCGCAAGGUUGAAACUCAAAGGAAUUGACGGGGGCCCGCACAAGCAGUGGAGUAUGUGGUUUAAUUCGACGCAACGCGAAGAACCUUACCAAGUCUUGACAUCCCUUGACGAUGCUGGAAACAGUAUUUCUCUUCGGAGCAAGGAGACAGGUGGUACAUGGUUGUCGUCAGCUCGUGUCGUGAGAUGUUGGGUUAAGUCCCGCAACGAGCGCAACCCUUAUGGUCAGUUACUACGCAAGAGGACUCUGGCCAGACUGCCGUUGACAAAACGGAGGAAGGUGGGGAUGACGUCAAAUCAUCAUGCCCUUUAUGACUUGGGCUACACACGUACUACAAUGGCGUUAAACAAAGAGAAGCAAGACCGCGAGGUGGAGCAAAACUCAGAAACAACGUCCCAGUUCGGACUGCAGGCUGCAACUCGCCUGCACGAAGUCGGAAUUGCUAGUAAUCGCAGAUCAGCAUGCU
rnacentral:rRNA from 1 species